rnacentral:rRNA from 1 species
UACAGAGGGGGCAAGCGUUGUUCGGAAUUACUGGGCGUAAAGGGCGCGUAGGCGGCCUUCUAAGUCGAACGUGAAAUCCCCGGGCUCAACCCGGGAACUGCGUCCGAUACUGGAAGGCUUGAAUCCGGGAGAGGGAUGUGGAAUUCCAGGUGUAGCGGUGAAAUGCGUAGAUAUCUGGAGGAACACCGGUGGCGAAGGCGACAUCCUGGACCGGUAUUGGACGCUGAGGCGCGAAAGCCAGGGGAGCAAAGCGGG